rnacentral:rRNA from 1 species
GACGAACCGUGCGAACGUUAUUCGGAAUCACUGGGCUUAAAGCGCGUGUAGGCGGCUAAGUAAGUCGGGCGUGAAAUCCCACGGCUCAACCGUGGAAGUGCACUCGAAACUGCAUAGCUAGAGUCCUGGAGAGGAAGGUGGAAUGCUUGGUGUAGAGGUGAAAUUCGUAGAUAUCAAGCGGAACACCGGUGGCGAAGGCGGCCUCUGGACAGUGACUGACGCUGAGACGCGAAAGCGUGGGGAGCAAACAGGAUAGAAACCCUG